rnacentral:rRNA from 1 species
UUUAUGGAGAGUUUGAUCCUGGCUCAGGAUGAACGCUGGCGGCGUGCCUAAUACAUGCAAGUCGAGCGAACGGACGAGAAGCUUGCUUCUCUGAUGUUAGCGGCGGACGGGUGAGUAACACGUGGAUAACCUACCUAUAAGACUGGGAUAACUUCGGGAAACCGGAGCUAAUACCGGAUAAUAUUUUGAACCGCAUGGUUCAAAAGUGAAAGACGGUCUUGCUGUCACUUAUAGAUGGAUCCGCGCUGCAUUAGCUAGUUGGUAAGGUAACGGCUUACCAAGGCAACGAUGCAUAGCCGACCUGAGAGGGUGAUCGGCCACACUGGAACUGAGACACGGUCCAGACUCCUACGGGAGGCAGCAGUAGGGAAUCUUCCGCAAUGGGCGAAAGCCUGACGGAGCAACGCCGCGUGAGUGAUGAAGGUCUUCGGAUCGUAAAACUCUGUUAUUAGGGAAGAACAUAUGUGUAAGUAACUGUGCACAUCUUGACGGUACCUAAUCAGAAAGCCACGGCUAACUACGUGCCAGCAGCCGCGGUAAUACGUAGGUGGCAAGCGUUAUCCGGAAUUAUUGGGCGUAAAGCGCGCGUAGGCGGUUUUUUAAGUCUGAUGUGAAAGCCCACGGCUCAACCGUGGAGGGUCAUUGGAAACUGGAAAACUUGAGUGCAGAAGAGGAAAGUGGAAUUCCAUGUGUAGCGGUGAAAUGCGCAGAGAUAUGGAGGAACACCAGUGGCGAAGGCGACUUUCUGGUCUGUAACUGACGCUGAUGUGCGAAAGCGUGGGGAUCAAACAGGAUUAGAUACCCUGGUAGUCCACGCCGUAAACGAUGAGUGCUAAGUGUUAGGGGGUUUCCGCCCCUUAGUGCUGCAGCUAACGCAUUAAGCACUCCGCCUGGGGAGUACGACCGCAAGGUUGAAACUCAAAGGAAUUGACGGGGACCCGCACAAGCGGUGGAGCAUGUGGUUUAAUUCGAAGCAACGCGAAGAACCUUACCAAAUCUUGACAUCCUUUGACAACUCUAGAGAUAGAGCCUUCCCCUUCGGGGGACAAAGUGACAGGUGGUGCAUGGUUGUCGUCAGCUCGUGUCGUGAGAUGUUGGGUUAAGUCCCGCAACGAGCGCAACCCUUAAGCUUAGUUGCCAUCAUUAAGUUGGGCACUCUAAGUUGACUGCCGGUGACAAACCGGAGGAAGGUGGGGAUGACGUCAAAUCAUCAUGCCCCUUAUGAUUUGGGCUACACACGUGCUACAAUGGACAAUACAAAGGGCAGCGAAACCGCGAGGUCAAGCA